GUGCCGAUAGUUCAGUUGGUUAGAGCGUCAGAUUGUGGUUCUGAAUGUCGUCGGUUCGAGUCCGACUAGGCACCCCA
rnacentral:tRNA from 1 species